AGUGGCGCACGGGUGAGUAACGCGUAGAUAACCUGUCCAGGUGAUCGGGAUAGCCCCCCGAAAGGGGGAUUAAUACCGAAUACGUUGAUUGUUCAUAAGGGCAAUCAAGAAAGGUGGCCUCUAUUUAUAAGCUAUCACACAUGGAGGGGUCUGCGUACCAUUAGCUUGUUGGUGGGGUAAGAGCCUACCAAGGCAACGAUGGUUAACGGGUCUGAGAGGAUGAUCCGUCACACUGGCACUGAAACACGGGCCAGACUCCUACGGGAGGCAGCAGUGAGGAAUAUUGCGCAAUGGGGGCAACCCUGACGCAGCGACGCCGCGUGGGUGAGGAAGGCUUUCGGGUCGUAAAACCCUGUCAGAUGGGAAGAAAUGCUUGAGGGUUAAUAUCUUUCAAGCUUGACGGUACCAUCAAAGGAAGCACCGGCUAACUCCGUGCCAGCAGCCGCGGUAAUACGGAGGGUGCAAGCGUUGUUCGGAAUCACUGGGCGUAAAGGGCGCGUAGGCGGCUUGGCAAGUCAGAUGUGAAAGUCCACGGCUUAACCGUGGAAGUGCAUUUGAAACUGCCUGGCUUGAGUAUCAGAGGGGAAGGUGGAAUUCCCGGUGUAGAGGUGAAAUUCGUAGAUAUCGGGAGGAAUACCGGUGGCGAAGGCGACUUUCUGGCUGAAUACUGACGCUGAGGCGCGAAAGCGUGGGGAGCAAACAGGAUUAGAUACCCU
rnacentral:rRNA from 1 species